ACUACUAGGGACUUCUGUUCUUCCACUGGUGGCCCCCACCUCAUCCCUACCGUGACCCCGCAGUGCGCACGCAGCCCACGGUAAGCGCACAAGAAAGGCCUGGUGAAUGAAGCAGUAAGAAUGGAAUGGGCACCCUGGAGGCUCCUGACUGAGAAAGGGAGAGAAACUCAAAGCUACCCAAGGAUGUUCCCUGGGGAAGGGACACCUGGAGCCUCUCAGCCAACCACUCAAUUCCAACAGCAGGACGCCCUACAAGAAUCCCCUCGGGGCCCCAAAAGCCCCACUGUGCAACCAACUCACAGAGUCCCAGGGCAGCCUCAGGGACCACAGCCACAGUCCCUCCAGUGACCCACUACCAUCCACUAUCCCUCUGCUGUGUCUCCCUUCAUACAUGCCCUCUCCCAGGAGGGCCUCCCAGGGACAGACACCAGGUCCUCCUGGUCACAAACGUCCCGGCAGGAAGUACAUCAGAAGACGGUGGCUGGGCCAGGAUCUUCCUCCAAGUACCAGGUUUACGGCUCAGUAUGCAUGAUCAGAGAGGCAGGCUGUGCUGCACAGCGCUCGGCACCUAGGACUCAGACUUGGCCACUUACGGUGUGCAGUCCUGACAUGUUUCCUCGUAUCUAGACCGCUAUUCAAAUCAGAUAAUAUUCGGCAAUCCAUGGAGACACAAAGAUUAGCAGUUGCCAGGGGCUGGGGGUGGGAGGAGAUGGGAGUGAUUGCUCAUGGAGGUGAGGCUUCUUUUAGGGUGAUGGACAUGUUCUGGAAUUACACAGUGGUGAUGGUUACACAACAUGGAAGAAUAUACUAAAAUCCACUGAAAUGUACACUUUAAAGUGCAUCUUAUGUUGUGGGAAUUUCACCUCACAAAAAAAAAAACAAAAAACUACCUAAAAAAAAAAAAGAUGUCAUGAUUUUUAAAAAUCAGAUACUG